UCUCCCGGGGGUGAGUCGAACACCCGAUCUCAAGAUU
rnacentral:tRNA from 1 species